CAGAGAAUAGUUUAAAUAAAAUAUUAAUUUUGGAGAUUAAUGAUGAAUUGAGUAGUUCUUCUCUGA
rnacentral:tRNA from 2 species